AAGAUUAGCCUGAACUCACACAUGGUAAUUCUACAGGCCAAAAAACAUUUGUCUGUUCUGAGUGUGGUAAAACAUUUGGACGAAAGAGCAACCUGAACACCACAUGAUAAGAAAGCUUUUCCUGCGCAGAUUAGGAACAAAGACAAGAAAAUCCAUCAAAAUAGAUACACAAGGCAAUUGCAAAAAAACCCAGGCUAGUGUACAGGAAGUUGGCAAAUGACACAACAGACGUACAACCACCACCCGAGACAGAAGAAGUUGAAACAUUCUGGAGACCACUCUUUGAAGACUCAAAACAACACCGGGAGGCAGAGUGCAUUGAAAUAAUAAAAGAGAAAAACAAAGACAAACAGCAAAUGCCAGCAAUUGUAAUCACUGAAGAGGAGAUCAAAAAGAAAAUGAGUGAAUAC